UGCACACUAUGAACUUGUGUGUGUGGUCGUAGAAGUAAGACCACAUUCGUCGUAGACUUUUUCGAAUGUACGGCAUUGAACAUGACUUUAUAUAGUAGUUGAAUUUCCCGUCCAUAUCAUUGUACCCUGGGACGUACCAACCACUUCAUCUACCGUUAAACCAUUGGAUUUUGUAUGCAGCAAUCUUCCCACCAGCUGCCACCUGAUCUACUUGCAUGUUUAGUCCCGCGGGCCAUCUACAGUCCCUCGUUGCUCUCCGCGUGAUCUC
rnacentral:lncRNA from 1 species